rnacentral:rRNA from 1 species
AGUGAACGCUGGCGGCGUGCCUAAUACAUGCAAGUCGAACGGAAUUUAAAAGAGCUUGCUCUUUUAAAUUUAGUGGCGCACGGGUGAGUAAUAUAUAGCUAAUCUGCCCCUUGCUGGAGGACAACAGUUAGAAAUGACUGCUAAUACUCCAUACUCCUUUUUACCAUAAGAUAAAUCGGGAAAGAAUUUCGGCAAGGGAUGAGACUAUAUCGUAUCAGCUAGUCGGUGGGGUAACGGCCUACCGAGGCUAUGACGCGUAACUGGUCUGAGAGGAUGAUCAGUCACAUUGGAACUGAGACACGGUCCAAACUCCUACGGGAGGCAGCAGUAGGGAAUAUUGCGCAAUGGGGGAAACCCUGACGCAGCAACGCCGCGUGGAGGAUGACACUUUUCGGAGCGUAAACUCCUUUUGUUAGGGAAGAAUAAGGACGGACCUAACGAAUAAGCACCGCAUCCC